GUCCGUAUCGAUUAGUGGUUAAAUCAUCUCGUUGUGGCUCUGGGCGCUCCGAGAAGCCGCAGGCUCGAAUCCUGCUACGGACA